GCCUCAGCAACCAGGAUGUGAACUCCCUGAAUAUAGGAACAUUGUCUUAGUUCUCUGUCAUCUUUUUAUUCCAGGGGUAGCAAAUAACCUGCAUACAGCUAGCAGUUACUAAAGAGAAUCAACUACCCUCUCAAGCGAGUCUCCUGGCAUUACAACUGUCACAUAGCACUAGGGGUCAGCUGGCCUGAAGUGGCCACCAGCUGCUGGCAACUGCAAAGUUUCAGCAAAACUUGUUCUGCCAUUGCCCCUUCUGGUGCUUCAGGAGCUCUAUGACGCCCAAGUAGCUUACACCAGCCACCUAGAAUGACAAUCUGGGAGCACAUGCAAGUUUGCUGGGAUGCCGAGGCCAGCAACGUUUCUCUCAUCAAGAGAUGACACUGUUCUCUGGAUAAGCUUAUACCCUGGGGGAUUCAAAUCACAGAACCCGUAUUGCAUACACACUGGCCGGAGAGGGGACCAGAGCUCAGCUCUGCCGGAUGGAAGAGGGGAGGAAAUAGGCAAAUGCUGGCAAGCUAUGGGCCGGUCCUAGGAGGACUCUGAAGCACUGCUGAAGAACUUUAUGCAAUGGGGAGCUACUCAAGGUCAAGGACAGGAAGCAGGGACAUGGCUCAGUCAGACCCACAUCACUUAAGUAACAGCAGGAAGGAUAAAUGGGGAGCGCAGAAGUCAGAAACCAGUUCUCAAGCCUCUCCAAGCCUCAACUUAAUCACCUCUCAAUUCCUAUAAUAAAAAAUUGUUGAUUGAACGUAUUCAAGCAUCUAAUCACACAGUCAUAUCCUGCUGUUUUAUACGCACAUGUUCUUCUCCAGAAACACAUCAUGAAGACUCCUGAGGACAGAAAGCAGGCCAGGAACUUCCUCUGAAUUUCUCAGGGCACUAAGGGCAACAGUCAGCACUUCUGAGUUGGAAGUGAGCUGUGAAGAAGGCCCUGGGAGAACACCACUACUGGUUAAAAUGGGAAAUGAAAAAUCAUUCCUGCUUCUAUGGGUCAGGUUUUCGCGUGUUUUCUUUCCCCACCUCUUCAGCUUAAAAAUACACAUGCUGCGAGCAGGCCAGACUUAACCUUUAGUCAUGAAGCCCACCUCAGCAGACACGGAGGCCAGCAGUCUGGCCUGAAACCUGAUUUGGGCUGAAACCUGAU